AGAUGUGAUGACAUCCUGUAAAAGUAAAGAAGAGGAAGAUUCACCCUGGGAUUCUCCUUGGGACUCUGAGGACAUCCCACAUAAGAAUGUCGGUAAUUCAGCUGGAAGUACAUCUCACAGCAGAAAUUGUACUUUAAAAGGACAUGGAGAUGGUUUUCGUCAAAAAUGUCCUGAUUUGAAGGGCAUCAAUAACAUGGGAAAGUCUGCUUCUAACAAAGCAGUAGGAAUGAAG